rnacentral:rRNA from 1 species
UACGUAGGUGGCGAGCGUUGUCCGGAUUUACUGGGCGUAAAGGGAGCGUAGGCGGACUUUUAAGUGAGAUGUGAAAUACUCGGGCUCAACUUGAGUGCUGCAUUUCAAACUGGAAGUCUAGAGUGCAGGAGAGGAGAAUGGAAUUCCUAGUGUAGCGGUGAAAUGCGUAGAGAUUAGGAAGAACACCAGCGGCGAAGGCGAUUCUCUGGACUGUAACUGACGCUGAGGCUCGAAAGCGUGGGGAGCAGACAGG